rnacentral:rRNA from 1 species
CCUACGGGUGGCUGCAGUGAGGAAUAUUGGUCAAUGGUCGGGAGACUGAACCAGCCAAGCCGCGUGAGGGAGGAAGGUACAGAGUAUCGUAAACCUCUUUUGUAGGGGAACAAAGGGCGCCACGUGUGGCGUUGUGAAUGUACCCGAUGAAAAAGCAUCGCCUAACUCCGUGCCAGCAGCCGCGGUAAUACGGAGUAUGCGAGCGUUAUCCGGAUUUAUGGGGUUUAAGGGGUGCGUAGGCGGCCCGUAAAGUCAGCGGUAAACGCCUGGGGCCCAACCCCGGCGAGCCGUUGAAACUGUGGGACUAGAGACUGCGAGAAGUACGCGGAAUGCGCGGUGUAGCGGUGAAAUGCAUAGAUAUCGCGCAGAACGCCGAUUGCGAAGGCAGCGUACCGGGGCCGGACUGACGCUGAGGCACGAAAGCGUGGGGAUCGAACAGGAUUAGAUACCCCAGUAGUC